AUUGCCGGUGAAAAGUAUUGUUGUUGUUGUUCUUAAAAAACAAUUGAUGCAUUAAAAAAUUUAUAGUUAAGUAAUUAAUAACAAUCAUAAGAAGUUAACAAUGUCUCAACUGACAGACCUUGAAGUGAAACAAGAAACUCAAAAUGUUCUUGAAAAUAUCAAUGAGAUGACUAAAAAAAUCAAAGCUGAAUUUAAGUUAAUUAACCAGCUGAUUGACUCUAACGGGCAGCUGGGAAAAUUAGCUAACGAGGCCAAUCAGAAAUUAAUUAACCAAGCUCAGCAACUUGGAAAAAAAGUUACUCUUGAUGCAGAGGAUUCGGAUGAGGUUGGAGGUAAUCACGAGCUCAGGUCUUCCAUCGAUGCUGUGACUCAAAAAUUGAUGGGAAUUAUGGAAGAUUCGUAAUUGUAAUUUUUUCAUAAUUAAUUUAUAAUUUGGAUUCCGUUAGCCAGUUAAAUUUUUGUGCUCUGCGAUCAGCAGAAGGAUUUAUCAUAAUAUUUAUGAGGCUCGGUGACUCUUUUUCCUGAAAAAUUUUAUUCG